AUGUCACAUCCAUCAGGUCCUAUUGCUUUUUCUUCCACCACAACCCUUCUCAUAUCUCCUUCUUUUCUCUUUUCACUUCUGUCUCUUUCUCUCAUCCUUUUUCCCUAUUUCUCUCUUUUCUCUUUCUCAUACUUUUUCUUUUUCUCUUUCUCUCUCGUCUUUUCUUUCUCAUCUUUCAUCUUCUUUCCCUUACAUUACAAUUCCACACAUCUAAUAUGUGGUUUAUCAAUCAACAAUGGCGGUGUGAAGAAUUUCGACAGACAAUAUUGUAGAAACAAAAGGAAUCAAUGGCAAUGUUGUUGUUAG